rnacentral:piRNA from 1 species
UAGGAGACGGGAGGCUACGUUCCAGG